AUUUGCGUAUACGACUUGCAUGGAAUAGUAUUGAAGCAAUUAAUAGGGAGAGGAAACUUUUUCUGGUUUCACUAUACUUUCUCAUAUGGGGUGAAGCUGCUAAUGUCCGUUUUCUCCCUGAAUGCAUUUGCUAUAUAUUUCACCGUAUGGCAAAGGAGUUGGAUGCAAUACUGGAUCAUGGAGAAGCUUAUCAUGCUGCAAGUUGCAAAAUUGAUAAUGGUCCCGUCUCCUUCCUUGUGAAAAUUAUUUCUCCCAUAUAUGAUGCGAUGGCAGCGGAAGCGGCAAGGAACAAUAAUGGAAAAGCUGCACAUUCAUCAUGGAGGAAUUAUGACGACUUCAAUGAAUACUUUUGGUCACCUGCUUGCUUUGAUUUGAACUGGCCUAUGAGUACAGAGUCAUCGUUUUUUCAUAAAAAGAAAAGGGCCGGUAAAAGCACUUUUGUUGAGCAUCGUACAUUUUUCCACUUAUAUCGAAGUUUCCACCGACUCUGGAUCUUUUUGGCUUUGAUGUUCCAGGCUUUGACUAUCAUAGCCUUCCACCAUGGGAAUAUCAAUUUGGAUACCUUUAAAGUUGUACUUAGCACUGGGCCUUCAUUUGCUAUCAUGAACUUCAUAGAGAGCAGUUUAGACGUCCUGCUUAUGUUUGGGGCUUACACUACAGCAAGAGGCAUGGCUAUGUCAAGGCUUGUUAUUAGGUUUUUCUGGUGGGGCUUGAGCUCAGUGUUUGUAACAUAUGUCUACAUUAAGGUUCUGGAGGAGAGACAUCAACAAGGCUCAAAUUCGUCCUAUUUUCGGAUAUAUAUACUUGUGUUGGGUGUUUAUGCAGCUCUACGCCUAUUUCUUGCACUGUUACUUAAAUUUCCAGCCUGCCAUACGUUGUCAGAUAUUUCUGACCAAUCUUUCUUUCAAUUUUUCAAAUGGAUUUAUCAGGAACGAUAUUUUGUUGGCCGUGGUCUCUUUGAAAAAAUAAGUGAUUAUUGCAGGUAUGUCCUCUUUUGGUUGGUGAUUCUUGCCUGCAAAUUCACAUUUGCUUACUUUCUCCAGAUUAGACCACUUGUUCAACCCACUCAAACCAUCGUAAAGCUUCGAACUGUGGACUACUCAUGGCAUGAUUUGAUUUCAAAGAAUAAUAAUCAUGCCUUAACUGUUGCUAGCUUAUGGGCUCCUGUUGUUGCUAUUUAUCUCAUGGACAUUCAUAUAUGGUACACUGUCUUAUCAGCAAUUGUGGGUGGCAUAAUGGGUGCACGAGCUCGUUUAGGCGAGAUACGCUCACUUGAAAUGGUUCAUAAACGUUUUGAGAGCUUCCCAGAGGCAUUUGUCAAGAAUCUUGUCUCUCCUCAAGCAAAAAGGAUGCCAUUCAACAGACAAGCAUCUCAGGAAUCUCAAGAUACGAACAAAGAUUAUGCAGCAAUGUUUGCUCCUUUCUGGAAUGAGAUAAUCAAAAGCUUGCGUGAGGAAGAUUAUAUUAGUAAUAGGGAGAUGGACUUGCUUUCUAGUCCUAGCAAUACAGGAAGUCUAAGAUUAGUUCAAUGGCCUUUGUUUCUUCUGAGUAGUAAGAUCUUGUUAGCGGUUGAUCUGGCUUUGGACUGCAAAGAUACUCAGGAAGAUCUUUGGAACAGAAUAUGUAGGGAUGAGUACAUGGCAUAUGCAGUUCAGGAGUGCUACUAUAGUGUUGAAAAAAUUUUGCACUCUCUAGUUGAUGGUGAAGGGAGACUUUGGGUUGAAAGGAUCUUUCGUGAAAUCAACAACAGUAUAUCGGAGGACUCACUUCUUGUAACUUUAUCGCUUAAGAAGCUCCCUCUUGUGGUGCAAAAAUUUACUGCACUAACUGGACUCCUGACACGGGACCGUCACCAACCUGAACUGGCCAAAGGUGCUGCAAAUGCUUUGUAUCAGCUUUAUGAGGUUGUAACACAUGAUCUGCUGUCAUCUGAUUUAAGAGAGCAGCUUGAUACAUGGAACAUUUUAGCUAGAGCAAGAAAUGAAGGGCGCCUGUUUUCUACUAUAGAAUGGCCAAGGGAUCCAGAAAUUAAAGAGCAGGUGAAGCGGUUGCACCUUCUUCUUACUGUAAAGGACACUGCUGCCAAUGUUCCAAAGAAUCUUGAAGCCAGAAGAAGAUUACAGUUUUUCUCAAAUUCACUAUUUAUGGACAUGCCUUCAGCAAAACCUGUUUCUGAAAUUAUACCUUUUUGUGUCUUCACUCCAUACUACAGCGAGACUGUACUUUAUAGUUACUCUGAGUUACGAGAUGAAAAUGAGGAUGGGAUAUCAAUCCUUUUCUAUCUUCAGAAAAUUUUCCCAGAUGAAUGGGAGAAUUUUCUGGAACGGAUUGGUAGAGGAGAGUCUUCUGAGGACGUUGAUUUUCAAAAAAACUCUAGUGAUACUUUGGAGCUUCGUUUUUGGGCAUCCUAUCGAGGGCAGACUCUUGCUCGGACUGUACGAGGAAUGAUGUAUUAUAGAAGGGCUUUAAUGUUGCAGAGUUAUUUGGAAAGGAGAUCAUUAGGAGUGGAUGAUCAUUCUCAAACAGGCUUCUUUGCCACUGAAGGUUUUGAAUUAUCACGUGAAUCAAGGGCACAAGCUGACUUAAAAUUCACUUACGUGGUUUCUUGCCAAAUUUAUGGGCAACAAAAGCAACGGAAGGACAAAGAGGCUGCAGAUAUUGCUCUUUUGUUGCAGAGGUAAAAAUUUUUCUUAUGAUUCUUUGCUUUCUAGAAUUGAUUGUUCUGGGUUACUGCUUCCUUACUGACUGUCGUGUGUUUUUAUAUGGAAAUGGAAUGGUGUCUUUAUUAAAACAAUUAUUUCAAACAUUUUCACCAUUUCAUGUGGGUGCAAGGAAGGCUGUGAGGUGCAUCCUUUUGCAUGUCUCAAUUGUCAAUAAAAUGUGUUGCUGGCAUGAGCAGGAAUUUAGAGUAUUUAGUUAUGAUGAGCUGAAGAGGUAUUUCUGAAUUUCUAAGCCAUGCUAUGAAUGGAGUUGCUUAUUCUUCAUGCUUGGAUGGCCCCCUAUGCUCUUCAACGCUGUCUAACCAGUCAUGAGGACUGGGAAGAGAGAAGCAAUUCUUUGAUACAUGAGUCCUCACUCCUUAAUAGCCAUCUGGUUUUGUCCAGGGAAUGAGGCGCUUCGAGUUGCAUUCAUACAUGUGGAGGAAAGUGCCACUGCUGAUGGAAUGGCUUCCAAGGACUUUUACUCGAAGCUUGUUAAAGCUGAUGUACAUGGAAAAGAUCAGGAAAUAUAUUCAAUUAAACUACCUGGAGAUCCAAAGCUUGGAGAAGGGAAGCCUGAGAACCAAAACCAUUCUAUAGUUUUUACUCGUGGGGAAGCUAUUCAAACUAUUGACAUGAAUCAGGACAACUACCUUGAGGAGGCAAUGAAAAUGAGAAAUCUUCUUCAGGAAUUUCAAGCCAAAAAACAUGGCAUUCGACCUCCCACCAUUCUCGGUGUAAGAGAACAUGUUUUUACAGGAAGUGUCUCUUCGUUGGCCUGGUUUAUGUCCAAUCAAGAGACUAGCUUUGUAACCUUGGCUCAACGUGUGUUGGCAAACCCUCUCAAAGUCCGCAUGCACUAUGGCCAUCCUGAUGUUUUUGAUCGGAUGUUUCAUAUAACUCGAGGUGGCAUUAGCAAGGCGUCACGAGUAAUUAAUAUCAGUGAAGAUAUAUUUGCUGGGUUUAACUCCACAUUAAGGCAAGGGAAUAUUACUCACCAUGAAUACAUUCAGGUUGGAAAGGGCAGAGAUGUUGGAUUGAACCAGAUUGCCCUUUUCGAAGGGAAAGUCGCUGGAGGAAAUGGAGAGCAAGUCCUAAGCAGGGAUGUGUAUAGGCUUGGACAACUAUUUGAUUUCUUCAGAAUGCUCUCUUUCUACUUCACAACUGUUGGAUAUUAUGUUUGCACAAUGAUGACAGUUCUGACGGUAUACAUAUUCCUGUAUGGGAGGGUUUACCUGGCUUUCUCUGGACUUGAUAGUGCAAUUUCAAAGGAAGAAAAGCUGCUAGGUAACACUGCUUUUGAGGCUGUUUUGAACGCGCAAUUCUUGGUACAGAUUGGAGUUUUCACAGCUGUCCCCAUGAUAAUGGGUUUUAUACUUGAACUGGGAUUGCUGAAGGCUGUUUUUAGCUUUAUUACAAUGCAACUUCAGUUGUGUUCAGUCUUCUUCACAUUUUCUUUGGGAACUAGAACUCAUUAUUUUGGACGUACUAUCCUCCAUGGAGGAGCAAAGUAUAGAGCAACUGGUAGAGGCUUUGUAGUCCGUCAUAUCAAAUUUGCUGAAAAUUACAGGCUUUACUCAAGAAGUCAUUUUGUUAAAGCGCUUGAAGUGGCACUGCUUCUCAUAGUUUACAUUGCAUAUGGGUACACAGAAGGGGGUGCCACAUCCUUUGUUUUGUUGACUCUUAGCAGUUGGUUUCUUGUCAUCUCAUGGCUCUUUGCUCCUUACAUAUUCAAUCCCUCAGGUUUUGAAUGGCAAAAGACGGUUGAAGAUUUUGAUGAUUGGACCAGCUGGCUUUUGUAUAAAGGUGGUGUAGGGGUGAAAGGAGAUGAUAGCUGGGAAUCAUGGUGGAACGAAGAGCAGAUGCACAUCCAAACAUUGAGAGGUCGUAUAUUAGAAACAAUAUUGAGCUUGCGGUUCUUCAUGUUUCAAUAUGGCAUUGUAUACAAACUCCAUCUAACAGGAAAGGACACAUCUCUUACGAUUUAUGGCUUCUCCUGGAUCGUAUUGAUUUUCAUCUUCAUGAUAUUUAAGAUCUUUACCUAUAGCCCUAAAAAAUCCAACAACAUAUUUGAGAAAUGCAUCAACUUCAAGCUAUUCAUGCGAUUCAUGCAAGGGGUUACAUCGUUAGGACUUGUUGCGGCCCUUUGUCUUGUUAUUGCCUUCACAAAUCUAACAAUCGCUGACCUUUUUGCAAGUAUACUGGCAUUUAUUCCUACUGGAUGGGCAAUCUUAUGUGUAAGUUGGCAUGGUUCUUUCCAAUUUUAGAUACUGUAAUGUGCAAAAAGUAAAUUGCACAUGUUGAAUUCUUUUACUUAAUUUGAUGAAAAUGAAGGUUUUUUUAUUCAGUAGUUUUAUUAAGCAACACGUUCUUACCUGUUUAAGAGUGAGCUGGAGAGAACAUGUAUCCUUAUGCCUCCAAUCCUCUGAUCCAUGUGCUGGCUUUUGCGGCUGAAUCAUUGGCUAUUUCCCACUUUCUUACUUUCAUAUUAUUUCGGGGUUUGUGGGUGGGAAAGAAUUUAAUUUAAAUGGACACAUCCUCUUAUACGAGGAGAAAAAAUGGAGAAAAAGGCAGGGUGAUUAAAAAAAAAGGUUGGAUGAUUUCAUUGAGAAGCCUCCUUAGUUUACUAAUAUAGGAAGAGCCCUUUUAAAUUAACACUUUGGCUCCUAUGAGAAGUGUGGACAUGCUGCACACAGAAGACCUACUCUCUGAUUGCAUUUGGAUAAGAACCUACUUUACGGGCCUAGGUGCUGCUUUUUAUCCAGUUGUGACCUGCAUAUGUUUCAAUUAUUAUAUUCUGACUAGCAUAUAUGAUUUUUGAUUCUGCUGAAACAGUUGGCUGUCACUUGGAAAAGGAUUGUUUGGAGUCUAGGCUUGUGGGAUUCAGUACGGGAAUUUGCUAGAAUGUAUGAUGCUGGGAUGGGUAUGAUUAUUUUUGCUCCAAUUUCAUUCUUAUCAUGGUUUCCAUUCGUCUCUACGUUCCAGUCUCGCCUUCUCUUUAACCAAGCAUUUAGCCGUGGACUUGAGAUCUCUCUCAUCCUUGCUGGAAACAAGGCAAAUGUUGAUGUCUGAUUCAAUACCUUCCUACUUGGCUGGUCUACCUUUAAGGUUUACAGAUUUUAGAUGAAAUAGCAUUUGUAUGGUACUGAUCAUGUAUUCCUUCUCAAUAGAAUUCCAGGUAGCUGUGUAUCAUAUUUGUAAAAAUGUAGCUUUACGAGAAAACUAUUACUUUCUUCCCUUUUUUAAGGCUUGAAGCCUUGAAGGUGUGACAUGUAUUCGAGUCGAGUGAACGUUUGCGAUUAGAGUGGUGUUUUUAUUUGAUCGCUUUAUUUUCAUGGGUUUCAAAGAAUGUUUCAAUCUUCCUUCAAUUUCUAUUGGCUGGCAUAUGUGCCACGCGCCACCGUCUAAUUAUUCAUCCAUGUACUUGCUGGUGGUCAUGGGCGGAUUCAUUUCAAUGAAUGGCCUCUCAUUUAUUUUGAAUUUACUCUCUCUAUGUACUUUUAUAAAUUGGUCUCUUAAAUUUAAGCACUAAACUCUUUUUUUGUUCCCUCAUAUAACAGGGCAGUUUAAUAAAAAAAAUAAACGAAUUGUAAUUUUAUUAUUCUACAAUAUGGCUGAUUAUAUGUGACUAAAUUAAAAAAAAAAAAAAAAAA
rnacentral:misc_RNA from 1 species